UGAAUCACACAGGUGCCUCUGCCCCCCCCCCCAUGGCAGAAUAAAACGCUCUUUCUCUGGAUUAACCCCUUGGUGUCGUUUGGCUCCUUUUGUCUCUGCUCGGGUGCAACAAUUAUUCCUACCCAUGGAUUAAAAAGGCUACAUAUUUCUGGUGCAUCGGCCGGGAAAAAGCACGUUCCCCGAGAUCGAGGGACAAAAAGGUCCAGGGCGUCACUGCAAUGCGAGCAGCUCGGGAUCCUGGGUCAACAGUUCCAGCGCGCAUCCUGCCAACUUCGUGGGAGGGACUGGCCACCCGUUCCUGAGUGGACACGCGACAAGUGACGGAGAGAAAGAGCAAUGGGCCGUGCAGAAAGAAGGUACCUCGAGGAACAAGGUAGGCUCCACAGGGUAUAGGUGGGAGCAAGCUCCACAGGGAUAGGUGGGAGCAAAGAGAGUUUGAUCAACUCCGCCAGCAGGGUAGAAGAAGCGCCACUGGUUUUGGUGUCGCCCAGAAAAAGCAGUAAAGGGUACUGCUGGGCCCCGGUCGAAGUUUAAGCGCUGCCGGUUGUGGUUGGUUGUUGGUUUUGUGCCCAGAAUAAGCAGAAAACAAAGGUCUCUUGGGCCCCGGUCGAAGUCGUGAAGCGCUGCCGGUUGUGGUUUUUGGUAAAAAAGGGGAUUGAGGGAGGUGCAUGGAGUUGUUGUUGUUGUUUUUUUUCUGAAUGUGCGUGUGGGGACACUCCAGUGAAUGUUUUGAGUGUGUGAGACGUUGAAAGCAACGUCUGGCCUGUGACUGAGUGGGGGGAAAAAAUAACGUUAGGAGGGCUGAGUGUCCCAGUGUCCCCAGGAUCCCAGAGUCAUGGGAAAUAAAAGCAGUAAAACAAUUCUUGAGACACCACUACAGAGCUUUCUGGAAAACUGGAAAAGUGCCACGAAAGCAGAAGAGUGGGGAUGUAAACUCAAAAAAAGCAGACUCCAACAUUUAUGUGAACUUGACUGGCCUUCGUAUUUACCAGAAUGGGCUCCUGGAGGAUCCUUUGAUCCAAACUUGGUCAACAUUUUAUGGAGUAACAUUUUCAAGGCCCACACAGAUCAGAGUCCCUAUAUUUCUAUCUGGAAAGCCAAUGUGGAUCAAAAUCCCUCAUGGCUUCGGAAAAAUAGAAUUGUGACUGCCCAAGUCCAACUGUGUUCAGUACAAUUACAAGUUAAGAAGCCACCAGUUUUGCCAGUCCUGGAAGAGGAGAUAAUUACCCCCCACACACACACCAUAUGCAGCAACUGUGCGAAGACAACCAAAUCUGGGAGCAAAUAGGGCUGCUUCUCUGCCCAAAGCCCAGACUGAGGACCCAAAUGAGAAGAUUCCCCCCUCUGCCCCUCCCCAACCCCCAUGUGAUGUAAGCGAGGAAGGUGAAGAGAAAGGUGAUGAUGAUGAUGAUGAUGAUGAUGAUGACUUCAGAAAAACUCAAGAUAAAGAGAUAAGAUGGACUAGUAAGCAGUCUGACAGAGUGUUCCAGUAUGUAGAACCGUUUAAAACAGAACUGGAUGUGGCCCCCUGGGUUCUAGAAGCAGCCCAGUGCCAGGAUGAGAAUUGGAGAAAAAAGCAAAAGGUUUUGAGAACAGCGUGGGACAGGGCAACAAAACCUGUAGAGACACUUAAAUCUAAGGCUUUGUCCAAACCCACUGUGGUGGCCCCUCUCCGGCAAGUGUAUGAUCCUUUGGAACAGCCAAAUGGUCAGGGCGUUAGACCCCCAAGGACCUUUACCAUUCAGCAUGUCCCUUUUACAAGCUCCGAUAUUUGCAAUUGGAAAAAUCAAAAUCCUUCUUUUGAGGAAAAUCCUGCAAAAAUAAUUAGACUUUUUGAAGGUGUGUUCAAAACCUAUAUGCCUACCUAUGAUGAUGUAAGUCAGCUUUUGGACACAAUUCUGACCACUGAGGAGGUCCGCAAGGUAAAUGCCUGUGCCAGGGAACAGCUCAAGGCAGCAAAUAAUACUGACGCUGCAAUUGAGGUCUCUUACCCCAGGCGGACCCCCCCUUGGGAUUACAAUACUACAGAGGGAAGGGCGGCCUUAGAGACUUCUCACAAAAAUGUUUUAGAAGGCAUGAGACGGGCAGCGAAAAGGCCUACAAAUAUGGCGAAAUUAUCUGAGAUUUUUCAGCUGCCCAAUGAGCCUCCAGGAGUAUUUUUGGAGAGAUUAAAAGAGGCAUUCCGCAAAUACACCCCCAUAGACCCUGAUGAUGAUGCCCAAGAGGUGAUUGUAAAAACCACCUUUGUGAUGCAAGCAGCUCCUGACAUAAGACGUAAAAUUCAAAAAAAAGAGAAUUUUAUAGGAAAUCGACUUGAAUGGAUGUUAACCCUUGCACAGACCACUUAUAAUCAGAGGGGUGAAGAAACAGAAAAGCAGAGAGAAAAAUACCAGACCAAAAAAUUAAUGGCACUAAGAGCUGGCCAGCAGCCAGACAGCCAGAAACAAAAAGCCCAUGGGAGGGGCAGGGGCCGUUUAGGACGGAAUCAGUGCGCCAUCUGCAGGCAGGAAGGUCACUGGAAGAUGGAAUGCCCGCAGAAUAAGGAAAUGUACCCCCACGCCCCGCAGUUUGCGAACAAUAACUUCGGGCCACAAGCCCAGCCGUGGGCUUCAGCUCCUUGGACUCCAAGGACCCGUGGCAGGGGGAGGGGGCAAGGACAGGGACCACCUUGGACCCCACCCCACCAAUCUGGGGCAAUGGCCCUGAGAGACGAAGACACUUACUAGGACAGACCGGGCCCAACCAAACAAAGCAGGUUCCCGUGAGCCCAUGGUCAACAUUGUAACUGGGAACCAGACUAUGCCAUUUAUGGUGGACACGGGUGCCGCAUUUUCCGUUGUGCCGCACCCAGUUGCCACAUCAACUGCUGAAUCAAUCAGCAUUAUUGGGGCCACGGGAAAAUCACAGCGAGUGCCAGUCUUUAAACCUGUGACCUGUAAACUAGGAGGGCAAACAGUCCAACAUAGAUUUAUCUACAUUCCUGAUUGCCCCAUUCCACUGAUGGGCAGGGAUUUAUUGACCAAACUGCAAGCUCAAAUCACUUUCCAGCCGUCAGGAGAGGUCACAAUGUCCACUACCUGCCCAUCUGGAGAAUUGGUAGUGGAAAGCCCCUUAAGGGAACACUGGCGCCUCAUGUUAAUACAGGAGAAGGAAAACCAAUCCCCACCUGCAUUUUGGACAGUGUAAAUCCUAAGGUAUGGGCUGAAGAUAAUCCCCCAGGCAUGGCUAAAAACAUUACCCACCCCCCAUCCUUGUGAAGCCCAAGCCUUUUUGGAACCCCGUAAAUGUGAAGCAGUAUCCCAUCCCACGCCCAGCAGCAGAAGGAGUGUGGAUUCAUCUUAAACGGCUGCUCCACUAUGGAAUUUUAAAACCUUGCCAAUCACAGUGGAACACCCCCCUGCUUCCAGUCAAAAAGGAAGGGGGAGGCUUUCGUCCGUGCCAGGACCUCAGGCUCCUAAACCAAGCCGUGCAGACCCUACAUCCCUCCGUGCCUAAUCCCUAUACAUUACUGAGCCUGAUUCCACCAACUGCAACACGUUUCACUGUAUUCGAUUUAAAGGACGCUUUUUUUAGCUGUAGGCUAGCUGAGGAAAGCCAGAGUUUGUUUGCUUUCCAGUGGAGGGACCCAGAGACAGGCACAAAAACGCAAUACACGUGGACGCGACUCCCACAGGGGUUUAAGAAUUCGCCCACACUUUUCAGUGCAGCUCUGGCUUCUGACUUAGCUAGCUUCCCCACCUCCCCCGACCGUGCGCUGAGUCAAUAUUUUGAUGAUAUUUUACUCUCGUGUAAAGAUGAAGACACGUGUCUAGAAGCGACCAGAGAUCUUUUGAAUCACCUAGCAGAAGCUGGGUACAGAGUUUCUAAAGCAAAAGCUCAGAUUUGCCAGCCAACUGUUAAAUACCUUGGCUUUGAUAUCUCUCACAGAACCCGUUCUUUACGAUCCGAAAGAAAACAGGCAAUCACCCAAAUUCCUGAACCGAAAAACAGGAGGGAGCUCCGGGGCUUCUUGGGGUCCGCCGGUUUCUGUAGAAUAUGGAUACCAAAUUACAGUGCCAUUGCCCAGCCCCUCCAUAAUUCCACCCGUGGAACAGAGAAGGAUCCCUUUGUGGGGGGGGCCAGAGCAGCGGCAGGCAUUCCAGCAGCUCAAGGACGCUUUACAGACUGCGCCUGCGCUUGGGCUUCCAAAUCCUUCCAAACCGGUUUAUUUGUACAUAGCUGAAGAUUCUGGAAUUGCGAAGGGCGUUCUUUGUCAGAAAUUGGGCAGUUGGCAGCAACCCAUAGCUUAUCUGUCUGAAAAGUUAACCCUUGCAGAGCAAGGCUUGCCUCCCUGUAUGCGGGCGGUUAUUGCUGCAGCAACCGUUCUUACGAAGGCUGACAAGUUCACCUUUGGCCAGGACACUGUAUGUGUCACCACACAUGCUGUGCCAGCCUUGUUGGAUAUGAAAGGGACUUAUUUUCUAUCACAAGACAAAAUGAUGAAAUGUCAAAUUUUGUUAAUGCAUCCACGUUUGCAGUUUCGAGUCACUGAGUCACUUAACCCAGCUACACUUUUACCUGUGGGUGAGGAAAGGCCCCCAACUCACGAUUGUUUACAGGUGAUGGAUGAAGUUUAUUCUAGUAGACCUGAUUUGAAGGACGUGCCAAAUCCUGCCUGGCCUUCUUGGUUUGUGGAUGGUAGCAGCUUUCUGGAGGGAGGCCAGCAAAAAGCGGGGUACGCUGUGGUAGCCCUGGAAGGGGAAAUCAUUGAAGCCUCCCCACUUCCCCCUUCUUCAUCCGCUCAGCUUGCUGAAAUUGUUGCUCUAACCCGUGCACUACAGUUGGCUGAAGGCAUAGACAUUAAUAUAUCUACUGACUCAAAAUGUGCUUUUCUUACCCUGCAUGCCCACGGAGCACUUUGGAAGGAACGUGGCAUGCUCACAUCAAAGGGGAGCCAGGUGCAGCGCCCCCAAGCCCUUAUGGAUCCUUUAACUGCAGUAUGGGCUCCCAGCCAAGUGGCUGUGAUACAUUGUUAUGGACAUCGAACUGGACUAAGUGUUGGGAUACUGCCAGGGAGAUAAAGUCCAUCAAGGCCCCCAAGCCGUCUGCCGGACGAUCCAUCUCAGUCUCCCGUAGGCACGCAGCGACAUGAGUUUCUAGAAAAUAUCUUGCCACAUUCUAGAGCUCAUGCACGCUCUAUCAGCAGAUAAAUGCACAGCCAAAAGUUGCAGUCAGGAGAGCAUUAUUUACAAGUUUAUUCAGCGUUGAUCAGAACACAGAAAAACAUGACUGACUGCUUUAGUGUCUGCGACACCAGAGAGAAAACGAAAGCAACAGAAAACAUAAACAUCCUGUGAACAGGAAAUACGCAGACUCUGACUCACAAAGCCUGCUCCCUUUUAAGGUGGAACGGAAAUAUCCUAACAUCCUCCCCUUUCCGUGUAACCUGUAGUACCUGUGGUUCAACCCAAUUGCAACCUUUGUACGUAAACCUUAAGUUGUUCUCUGUUAACAACCUUAGACAACAGAUCAGCAGGAAUUUCAUUUCCUGGCAUGUAGGACACCUGAAUGAGUCCUUUCUGAAUACACUCUCUUGCACGAUGUAGCUUAAUCUGCAAGUACUUGGUCCUUUGCUUGCAACUCUCCGAGUUCAGCAAAGCCAAACACGAUCUAUUGUCUUGAUACACUUGUACAGGACAUUUCACAGAAACUCUGAUGUCCUUAAACAGUUGCAUCAACCAUUCACAAUCCAUGAGUGAAAAUGACAGAGCAUUGAGUUCUGCUUCACAGGAACUUAGGCUCACUGUCGUCUGCUUUUGCACAACCAGUCAAACAGGCAGUGGUUGUACAUGUAGCAUACUCCAGAAGUGCUUGUACCAUCCGUGGUGUCACUUCCAAAACUUGCAUCUGCAAAGAUUUCAAGACCUCCAGUCUUCUGACUGGUGAACCUCAGCCUGUAGUGCAUAGUCCCUUUCAAAUAGCGGGCUAUGCGCUUCAGAGCUUUCCAAUCCUGAACAGUAGGAUUGUUAGCAUGUCUGCUAAGCAGGUUAGUGCUUACAGCUAUGUCAGGUCUUGAGCAUCUAGCAAUGAAAUUCAACUUGCCUAGAAUGCAUCUGUACAGCGUAGUGUCAGAAAACGCUUCAGCAGUACUGUCUACCUGGUAACCUGUCACCAUCGGUGUGUCUGCUGGGUUUGCAUCAACCAAAUUCAACCUGGUUAAUACAUCAGCAAUUUUCUGUGUUUGGUGUACCAGAAAAUUACCUGCUUGGUCCCUCUCCACCUGCAGAGAAAGAUAGUUGGAUACCUCACCAAGAUCCUUCAUGUCAAAGUGCUCCUUCAGCUGAGCUAGGGUGCUUUGGUAGAAAGCCUGAUUCUUCCAAAACAUCAGAAGAUCAUCAACAAAACAUAAACAAUACAGUUUGUUUUGCCCUCCUCCUUGACAAACACACAUGGAUCAGCUUUGCCCUGGUGAAAACCUAGAGAAAGCAAUGUCUCAGUGAGUUUUGUGUUCCAACACCUGGCACUCUGCUUGAGACCAUAUAAGGAUUUCCGCAGUUUACAGACCAUUCCCUUCUGUAUCUGCAUCCCGUCAGGUGGAAGCAUAAACAGCUCCUCCCCCAGAAUCCCGUACAAAAAGCUGUAUUAAUGUCAUGAUGGGAAACAUGCAGUUUCUCCUCCGCAGCUAUCUUGAGCAUCAGCCGAAUGCUCUCAUAUUUGACGGUGGGUGAGUAGGUCUCGUGGUAAUCCUGUCCUGGUACCUGUGAAAAACCUCUGGCAACCAAUCUGGCUUUGUGUCUGACAACCUUGCCAUUCUGGUCUGUCUUGGCCUUGAAGACCCAUUUGCUGCCAACCAGUCUCAUUCCUGGGACUACCGGUACCAGUUCCCAAGUUUGGUUCCUAUUCAAGGAAUCAACUUCAGCCUUCAUGGCAUUAAGCCAAGGCUCAGCAUCUUUAGAGGUUAACUCCUGAACCUCUUUGAAGCUUGAAGGUUCCCACACCUUCUCUGAGCUACUAAGAACAGCAGUUGCUGUCUUAGCAAACUCAUCAGCAAAUCUCUUUGGAGGUCUGCCCUUCGUGGCUCUCUCAGAUCUGCGUACUAGACGCAAGUCUUCUGGACUCAUCUCCUCCUUCUUAGGAGAAAAGUGACCAAUGGUGAACAGUGGUUCUUCCAGUUCAUUGUCAGACGCAUCAGAUGGUCUGACUGAGGCCUUUGCGCUCUUGUAGUCUGCUGUGUCAUCACUGUCACUGACAUCAGCAGCAGCGCCGCCCACUGAACUGGAAUCCGAACUCUGAUCAUCAUCGUCAUCAUCAUCCUCAGCAGCUUCCUCAGCUUUAGCUGCUUCUUUGACAUCACCUUCAUCCUCCUCUGGGUAACUCUGGAAAAUUCCCACAUUUUCCCCCCACUUAGGAUUGUACUCAACACUCUUUGUGAACUUAAUGGACUUAGAGUUGGUCAUCCAUACCCUGUAUGCACCUUUUCGUACCCCAUGAACAAACCAUGUGCCCCACGCUUCCCAAGCUUGUUGCUCUGUGGGGUGUGUACCCACAUGUCAGAACCAAAGAUUCUCAUGUGUUUGAUGUUGGGUUUCUUACCAAACAUCUUCUCAUAGGGAGUACAACCAAUAGGUGAUGACAAUCUGCGAUUAUAAGUGUAAGCAAAAUUCGACAGAGCCUCCCCCCAAUACUUAUCGGGAGAUUGGCAUCAUGCAACAAUGUUUUCAUUCCUUGCAGCAACGUUUGAUUUGCUCGCUCCGCAAGCCCAUUCAUCCAUGGCGAUCUAGGCGUUGACAAGUCAUGCUGGAUUCCCUUCUCAGUCAGGAAAGCUUCAAACUGCUGAGAAGUGAACUCCCGCCUCGAUCAGUAAACAGACAGCCAAUACGUUUACCGUGAACAUUCU
rnacentral:lncRNA from 1 species